rnacentral:rRNA from 1 species
GAUGAACGCUGGCGGCGUGCCUAAUACAUGCAAGUCGAGCGAACAGACGAGGAGCUUGCUCCUCUGACGUUAGCGGCGGACGGGUGAGUAACACGUGGAUAACCUACCUAUAAGACUGGGAUAACUUCGGGAAACCGGAGCUAAUACCGGAUAAUAUAUUGAACCGCAUGGUUCAAUAGUGAAAGACGGUUUUGCUGUCACUUCUAGAUGGAUCCGCGCCGCAUUAGCUAGUUGGUAAGGUAACGGCUUACCAAGGCAACCAUGCGUAGCCGACCUGAGAGGGUGAUCGGCCACACUGGAACUGAGACACGGUCCAGACGCCUACGGGAGGCAGCAGUAGGGAAUCGUCCGCAAUGGGCGAAAGCUUGACGGAGCAACGCCGCGUGAGUGAUGAAGGUCUUCGGAUCGUAAAACUCGGUUAUUAGGGAAGAACAAAUGUGUAAGUAACUAUGCACGUCGUGACGGUACCUAAUCAGAAAGCCACGGCUAACUACGUG